rnacentral:rRNA from 1 species
AGAGUUUGAUCAUGGCUCAGGACGAACGCUGGCGGCGUGCCUAAUACAUGCAAGUCGAGCGAAUCACUUCGGUGGUUAGCGGCGGACGGGUGAGUAACACGUGGGCAACCUGCCUGUAAGACUGGGAUAACACCGGGAAACCGGUGCUAAUACCGGAUAAUCCUUUUCCUNUCAUGAGGAAAAGCUGAAAGUCGGUUUCGGCUGACACUUACAGAUGGGCCCGCGGCGCAUUAGCUAGUUGGUGAGGUAACGGCUCACCAAGGCGACGAUGCGUAGCCGACCUGAGAGGGUGAUCGGCCACACUGGGACUGAGACACGGCCCAGACUCCUACGGGAGGCAGCAGUAGGGAAUNUUCCAUAAUGGACGAAAGUCUGAUGGAGCAACGCCGCGUGAGCGAUGAAGGCCUUCGGGUCGUAAAGNUCUGUUGUUAGGGAAGAACAAGUACCGGAGUAACUGCCGGUACCUUGACGGU